rnacentral:rRNA from 1 species
AUGAACGCUAGCGGCAGGCUUAACACAUGCAAGUCGAGGGGUAUAGUUCUUCGGAAUUAGAGACCGGCGCACGGGUGCGUAACGCGUAUGCAAUCUACCUUUCACAGAGGGAUAGCCCAGAGAAAUUUGGAUUAAUACCUCAUAGUAUUUUCGGAUCGCAUGAUUUGAUUAUUAAAGUUCCAACGGUAAAAGAUGAGUAUGCGUCCCAUUAGCUAGAUGGUAAGGUAGCGGCUUACCAUGGCGAUGAUGGGUAGGGGUCCUGAGAGGGAGAUCCCCCACACUGGUACUGAGACACGGACCAGACUCCUACGGGAGGCAGCAGUGAGGAAUAUUGGACAAUGGGCGCAAGCCUGAUCCAGCCAUGCCGCGUGCAGGAAGACGGUCCUAUGGAUUGUAAACUGCUUUAUACAGGAAGAAACACUCGGACGUGUCCGAACUUGACGGUACUGUAUGAAUAAGCAUCGGCUAACUCCGUG